UACGUAGGGGGCUAGCGUUGUCCGGAAUCAUUGGGCGUAAAGCGCGCGUAGGCGGCCCGGUAAGUCCGCUCUGAAAGUCCAGGGCUCAACCCUGGAAAGCGGGUGGAUACUGCCGGGCUAGAAUCCGGAAGAGGCGAGUGGAAUUCCUGGUGUAGCGGUGGAAUGCGCAGAUAUCAGGAGGAACACCGGUGGCGAAGGCGGGUCUCUGGGCAACAACUGACGCUGAGGAGCGAAAGCGUGGGGAGCAAACAGG
rnacentral:rRNA from 1 species